AACGCCUGAAACAAAUGAUAAUGCACACUUUUGACGAACAAAUAAGGGCCCUACAAUUUGUUUUCACAUUCUGUCUGGUCAUAACAAAUCCAUCAGCAGUCAAAGUUUAAACUUACACAAAACGCGCCGAAGCGACGAGUUUUGGCUGAUCGUAAUGUGACGUCACGAAGCAUGAUUCUACUCCGCCACAUUCAUCGCUUAUACAUGUUUCCAUGCUCUAAUGUGAAUAUUGUGUGUUGGUUUGCUUGUUUCUCAAUUAUUGAAAGUAAAAUGGCUUAUAAGUACUGUAUGGUGCCGCAGUGUACAAGUACCACUACGUCUACACCAGAAAAACAUUUGUAAAAGUGCCAUUGAACGAAAAGAAACGGAAAUUGUGGUUGAAAGCAGCGCGGCGAAACUGCACCGAUCUUUCUGCAAAAAGCAACAUUUAUGCCUGUGAGGAUCAUUUCAAUCUUGAAAAAGGCAUGGAAAAUUUUAUGGAGUGGAAAUGAUGGGAGUUCAGAAAAGAAUGAAAAAAUAUGUUGUUCCACUCCACAGAAACUUGUCUGCCAAAAAGACAGAAAACGAAGUAGUGACGCUCCUGUACGAGCCGUAGUUUUGAAACGUAAUAGACUUAACAUUAUAAAUGACGCUUUAGAUGCAAGACUAUACCUGGGUAUAAAUAAA